rnacentral:misc_RNA from 1 species
GGAACCUCCGAUCCCUCAAUGCACUAUUUAAAGCAUAAUCCUUGAAGCCAUUUAUCAAGCAGCGAGCUUCUAGAGUUCCUAUGCACCCUCGCAAACGAGGUUCACCACCAUUGACCACUUUUUUCCAGGUAACGAACAAGGGGUGUUGACCGCCAUCGAAAGCGGGGGGAGGGGCUUCCUCGCCGUUGUAGUGAGCGAGAAGGGUAUCGAAACAAAAAAC